rnacentral:rRNA from 1 species
CCUACGGGUGGCAGCAGUGGGGAAUAUUGCGCAAUGGGCGAAAGCCUGACGCAGCGACGCCGCGUGAGGGAUGAAGGUCUUCGGAUCGUAAACCUCUUUCAGCAGGGAAGAACGGUCCCUGUGCUAAUCAGCAGCGAAUUGACGGUACCUGCAAAGGAAGCACCGGCUAACUCCGUGCCAGCAGCCGCGGUAAUACGGAGGGUGCGAGCGUUAAUCGGAAUUUCUUGGCGUAAAGCGCUCGUAGGCGGUAGGUCAAGUCAAGGGUGAAAUCCCCGCGCUGAAGGUGGGAAUUGCCUGUGAAACUGGCAAACUGGAGUGUGUGAGAGGAUAGUGGAAUUCCAGGUGUAGGAGUGAAAUCCGUAGAGAUCGGGAGGAACAUCAGUGGCGAAGGCGACUAUCUGGCACAUAACUGACGCUGAGGAGCGAAAGCGUGGGUAGCAAACAGGAUUAGAUACCCUAGUAGUC